rnacentral:rRNA from 1 species
UCCUGGCUUAGGAUGAACGCUAGCUACAGGCUUAACACAUGCAAGUCGAGGGGCAGCAUAUCGAAAGCUUGCUUCGAUGAUGGCGACCGGCGCACGGGUGAGUAACGCGUAUCCAACCUUCCCCUUAGUAGGGCAUAGCCCGGCGAAAGUCGGAUUAAUACCCUAUGUUCUUCGUAGAGGACAUCUGAAAUGAAGCAAAGGUUUACCGCUAAGGGAUGGGGAUGCGUCUGAUUAGGUAGUAGGCGGGGUAACGGCCCACCUAGCCUGCGAUCAGUAGGGGUUCUGAGAGGAAGGUCCCCCACAUUGGAACUGAGACACGGUCCAAACUCCUACGGGAGGCAGCAGUGAGGAAUAUUGGUCAAUGGGCGCGAGCCUGAACCAGCCAAGUAGCGUGCAGGAUGACGGCCCUAUGGGUUGUAAACUGCUUUUAUCAGGGGAUAAAGUGAGGGACGCGUCCCUUUUUGUAGGUACCUGAUGAAUAAGGACCGGCUAAUUCCGUGCCAGCCGCCGC